rnacentral:rRNA from 1 species
GACGAACGCUGGCGGCGUGCUUAACACAUGCAAGUCGAACGGUAAGGCCCUUCGGGGUACACGAGUGGCGAACGGGUGAGUAACACGUGGGUGAUCUGCCCUGCACUUCGGGAUAAGCCUGGGAAACUGGGUCUAAUACCGGAUAGGACCACUGCCUGCAUGGGUGGUGGUGGAAAGCUUUUGCGGUGUGGGAUGGGCCCGCGGCCUAUCAGCUUGUUGGUGGGGUGAUGGCCUACCAAGGCGACGACGGGUAGCCGGCCUGAGAGGGUGACCGGCCACACUGGGACUGAGAUACGUCCCAGACGCCUACGGGAGGCAGCAGUGGGGAAUAUUGCACAAUGGGCGCAAGCCUGAUGCAGCGACGCCGCGUGAGGGAUGACGGCCUUCGUGUUGUAAACCUCUUUCAGCACCGACGAAGCGCAAGUGACGGUAGGUGCAGAAGAAGGACCGGCCAACUACGUGCCAGCCGUCGCGGUAA